GAACGCUGGCGGCGUGCUUAACACAUGCAAGUCGAACGAGAAUCUACGGAUCGAGGAUUCGUCCAAGUGAAGUAGAGGACAGUGGCGGACGGGUGAGUAACGCGUGAGGAACCUGCCUUUCAGAGGGGGACAACAGUUGGAAACGACUGCUAAUACCGCAUGACACAUUGGAGUCGCAUGGCUCCGAUGUCAAAGAUUUAUCGCUGAAAGAUGGCCUCGCGUCUGAUUAGCUAGUUGGUGAGGUAACGGCCCACCAAGGCGACGAUCAGUAGCCGGACUGAGAGGUUGACCGGCCACAUUGGGACUGAGAUACGGCCCAGACUCCUACGGGAGGCAGCAGUGGGGAAUAUUGGGCAAUGGGCGCAAGCCUGACCCAGCAACGCCGCGUGAAGGAAGAAGGCUUUCGGGUUGUAAACUUCUUUUGUCAGGGACGAGUAGAAGACGGUACCUGACGAAUAAGCCACGGCUAACUACGUACCAGCAGCCGCGGUAAUACGUAGGUGGCAAGCGUUGUCCGGAUUUACUGGGUGUAAAGGGCGUGUAGCCGGGAAGGCAAGUCAGAUGUGAAAUCCACGGGCUCAACUCGUGAACUGCAUUUGAAACUGUUUUUCUUGAGUAUCGGAGAGGCAAUCGGAAUUCCUAGUGUAGCGGUGAAAUGCGUAGAUAUUAGGAGGAACACCAGUGGCGAAGGCGGAUUGCUGGACGACAACUGACGGUGAGGCG
rnacentral:rRNA from 1 species